CUCUAACUUGGGGUCUUGUCUCUCCAGCAACAUUGAGAUCCCAGCCAACCUUCAGCCAUGAAGAUUCUCUACUUUCUCUUUGGUGUCCUCCUCCUGGUGACACAAAGCUCUGCUGGAUUUAGGUUUUCAGCAUAUGAGAACGCUGCAUGUACGGAUGCUAAAGGUCACUGCAAAAGAAAUUGUUUCUACCCAUGGGUAGAGACUGGAAAAUGCAGUAAUUAUAGGAAGUGCUGUAAGUGGAAGGAGUUUGCACCGUGAGCGUUAGCAGCAGAUAUUGUUAAUGCAGGAUGUCUGGGUAUCUGGCAGAGGACGCCUGGCUUCUAACGUCAUUGGACACUUUUCUUAUGGGCUGCAAAGAAUUUCGCACGUCUAAAAAUUCACAAGGGAGUCCUUGUGUCACCUCUAAUAAUUUCAUCUUCUCCUUUUAAUAAAAGUAGCAGG